GCUUUGAUGCCAUGGCGAUUUCUGGCGUGACGCUGUGACCUUACGUUUGACUGUAACUUCCACAAACAGCCUCCGAUUUGCCCGAGACUGAACAUCACAUCACCAGUGUGGUAAAGAUCUGUCUCUUUUACAAACGAUCCCACCUGUUUCCCUGCUGUCGUCCUCCAUCCAGACCUCGGGACUCACUGUAGCUUUAUCUGGAAUCACCCAGAGACUUUAUUGAAACCUCAUAAAUGAACAGUUUUCGCCCUCCUGUUUGAAGAGUGGAAACAAACUGGAAGUCUGGUCAGUAAAGCUGGUCCCAGUGGGAGCCUGCAGGUCUCAGGCCCAUUAAAGUGCUAAGCUGACCAGUUUUUACGGUCUGCUCUCCUGUGGUCCGCUGACCCAGCACAUCCAGUACCGACUAACUGGUGAAGUUCACGCCUACUUAUAGAAGAAGCCUCUGAUUGGCAGGUGGAAUCGGCCAGCAGCAGCUUGUCGUAUGCGUGAGUCAUCAUGAGUCUGGGUGCAGUGGGGUGAACAUCUGCUCUGACUGCAGCUCGGACCAACUGUUCCAGCGACGGCCGCGCGAGGACGACUGCUGCGAGGAGCACACAGAGAGAGGACAACUCAAACUUCUCAGCGCAUCUUCCUACCUGCCCACCUGCUCGGAUACAUCCACGUUCCUGACAGGGCCAUGCGGAGGCGGGGCCAAUGCUACCAAGACCAGAAUGGGCCAGGCCAGAUGUGAAGUAGUGGUGUGCAUCUCUACCUGCCUCACGAUUCCAUCCGAUUCCGAUUAUCUGCCUAACGAUUCGAUUUGAGUCUGAAAUGCAUCACGAUUCUUCACAAAAUGUUCCAUUACUUAAUAAAAGCAGUAGAAUAGUUUUCAAUUUCUUUUUUAUUUCGAUAUCCCUGAAAAACAGAACAUAUACUAUAGUGAGCAAUAAUGUUUAAAGUGUGCUGCCUAUAAUUACUUAAAUAAUAUAAGAAAUAAUGUUUUCUAAAGAGCAGCUUUAAGAUAGAAUAUUACUGAACUUAAAAAUAGUAAACAAAUACUGUGUUAAGUGAUUCUUUCACAUCCAGGAUCCCAAAACCUAAAUUAGCCCAGACAUCCGAUUUAAAUGUAACGGGCACAUCUUUGAUUACUGGUACUGUUGGCCCUGUGUCCCUGUCCGCCUUUUCUGUUUUAAAUUGGCGCUAGGGCAACGCAGUGCGCAUGUCAUUGCAACUCUGCCCCCAGAAGUAGUUGUAAAACUUCAAAACUUUAUUGUCCUCAUGCGUCCAGAACAUAGACAUAGGGAGAAAAUCUCAUGAUGUCACGUUGCUGCAUCGAUGCGGAAUCAUGCACGGCGGAAUCGCGAUGCAUCUUAGAAUUGAUCAUUUUUCCCACCUCUAAUGUGAAGACGCCAAUAGUUGCAUUAUGUGUAAAAGUUGUGUCAUUAAAAGCCUGAAAACCGAUACAGAUAUUUUCCCAUUUUAAAUUUUAAAACCAAUAUCGACCAUAUUUGGACAUCCCUAGAAAUAAUAUUUUAACUGAACCUUCCAUCUACACCUGCUGAUGAAAUAUUUCAUCUUCCUUUUACUCAGAAAUGAUCAGAGUUCUGUUAUCCUCCCAAAUAAUUCUGAUUGUCAGGAGUUCUGUAGCUCUGCUCUCGGACUGACUCACCUUUACACCAGAAGCAUUUAUUGCUCGGUGACAUCAUGCAGGGUCACUCUGGGGAGUUAAUCACUCUGCUGCACCUCCUUCUCCCCGUUCCAGUCUCAGGACAGGUGCUUAUCGGGCCCAGCAGCUGGACUCUCCUUCAGCUUGGAACCGGACCACCCUGGGGAGGGUAACAGAGCCAACUCCCAUUUUCGGCACGGCCUUGUUGUAGCUGGCAGCGUAGUUGGUCUGAUUGAGAUCUUACAGGAGAAAAUGUCAUUUCCUCACUCUGAGCCCCGCAGGUCGCACCUCGCUGCCACCCUCCUACUGAGCCAGGAGCGAGCCUUUGCUGUUCAAGGCUGUCACUCAGUGAAACACUAAAUGUCUCUUUAUUAACAAUGCAGCUGCUCCCCUCUGAGGUCACGCUCGGUGAUAAACACACACACACACACACACGCCCAUGAGCACAUGAGGUCACACACUUUGGCUUUUUGACCUUCAGUUACAACGGAAAAGAAAAGGGACAGGAGGCUUCAUGCUGGAGUCCAAAAACCUCAAGACUGCUUCAGGGUGCCACAGAUACGAGUUCCAGUGGAGGAUGAAAUCUAAACGGGCCACGGGACGCAAGCAAACAACUUCCCCCAGCAGAUUCUGGGUUGGGAUGAAAUGAAAACACAAUCUUUUGGCUAAUCCUAUUCCAUAAUUUGGUUCUUUUCUGAACACAGAAUAAUGGAGGUUCGUUGUUUACCUUCGUGGUGGAAGUGAUGCCACUAACAUCGGCGACGCUCUGAAGAAGGCUACAGAUGUAGCCGGAGCUUGUCAGCAAGAAUGUACAUAGUUCUCUAUUAGUCUGUUCACAAACGAACCAAAUAUUGGAAAUGGAUAACCAACACAGAGCAAGCUUAACUCAAAUGUUCAAAAUAACUAAUCCUGUUUCAGCGCUGUACGGUGCGACGUGUAGUGUUGAAAAAAUUCUGUGCAAGAAAGAAUUUUUAGACGUAGAACUGUUCAUUUCAUAAUAGAUAUGUCACCGUUACAUUUUCAGUAGUAGAAAUUAAAUGUUUUUAGCACUUCCAGUACCACUGAACACGUUGAUGAAAUACAUACAAUUCUUCUGAUCACAGUUUAACUGUGGACACAUUUAUGUAUACAUAUAUAUAUA
rnacentral:lncRNA from 1 species